UGGGGAAUUUUGGACAAUGGGGGCAACCCUGAUCCAGCCAUUCCGCGUGAGUGAAGAAGGCCUUCGGGUUGUAAAGCGCUUUCGGCAGGAAUGAAACGUCGAGCUCUAACAUAUCUUGCUAAUGACGGUACCUGAAGAAGAAGCACCGGCUAAUUACGUGCCAGCAGCCGCGGUAAUACGUAGGGUGCGAGCGUUAAUCGGAAUUACUGGGCGUAAAGCGUGCGCAGGCGGUUAUAUAAGACAGAUGUGAAAUCCCCGGGCUCAACCUGGGAACUGCAUUUGUGACUGUAAAGCUAGAGUACAGCAGAGGGGGAUGGAAUUCCGCGUGUAGCAGUGAAAUGCGUAGAUAUGCGGAGGAACACCGAUGGCGAAGGCAAUCCCCUGGGCCUGAACUGACGCUCAUGCACGAAAGCGUGGGGAGCAAACA
rnacentral:rRNA from 1 species